rnacentral:rRNA from 1 species
UACGGGGGGGGCGAGCGUUGUUCGGAAUUACUGGGCGUAAAGGGCGCGUAGGCGGUUCGCUAAGUUGGAUGUUAAAACUCUGGGCUCAACCCAGAGCCUGCAUCCAAAACUGGCGGGCUAGAGUUCUGGAGGGGGUAGCGGAAUUCCUGGUGUAGCGGUGAAAUGCGUAGAUAUCAGGAGGAACACCGGUGGCGAAGGCGGCUACCUGGACAGAAACUGACGCUGAGGCGCGAAAGCUAGGGGAGCAAACAGG